rnacentral:rRNA from 1 species
UACGUAGGGUCCGAGCGUUGUCCGGAAUUACUGGGCGUAAAGCGCGCGCAGGCGGCCCGCGAGGUGUCACGUGAAAGCCCCGGGCUCAACCCGGGAGGGUCGUGGCAAACCGGCGGGCUUGAGGCCGGUAGAGGUGGGUGGAACUCCUGGUGGAGUGGUGAAAUGCGUAGAGAUCAGGAAGAACACCCGUGGCGAAGGCGGCCCACUGGGCCGGUACUGACGCUGAGGCGCGAAAGCGUGGGGAGCAAACAGG